rnacentral:RNase_P_RNA from 1 species
GGAGUUGGCCAGGCAGUUGCGGCAUCACAUCAGGUGUCGAGGAAAGUCCGGGCUCCACAGGGCAGGGUGCCAGGUAAUACCUGGGCAGCGCGAGCUGACGGCAAGUGCCACAGAAAAUAUACCGCCUGGGCCGUUCACCGGUCGAGGUAAGGGUGAAAUGGUGCGGUAAGAGCGCACCGCGGUAUUGGUAACAAUACCGGCAGGGUAAACCCCACCUGGAGCAAGACCGAAUAGGGACCCGCUGGCGUGCCCGCGCCGGGUCCGGGUAGGUUGCUUGAGGCGUCUGGUGACAGACCGUCCAGAUGAAUAACUGUUCACGACAGAACCCGGCUUAUCGGCCAACUCCCUUU